CUCUGUUUCACUACCAGGCACAUCUCCUUCACCAACCAUUUUGUCUCUGCAAAACAGAAAAGAACAAACAUAUUAGUCAAAAUUAACAAAAUUGCACAGGGGGAGACAAAAUGGGGGUGUGGUAUGCUACAUUUGCAUAUGAAGUUGGCAACUUAAAUUAACAAGUUGCACAUGGGCAGAAAAAAUGGCUACUCUUAAUGUGAAGUUGGCAACUCAAGAUAACAAGUUGCACAAGAAUUAAGAAAGUUGCACAUAAAUUCCUACCUGAGUGAGCGAAAAAAUUGCCACCCGGUUGGCAAGCCAAUCAAAACAACUUGGAUAACGGGACAUGCCUCGUUGCAAAAAAAAAUUGGCUAGAAAAUGCCUUUGUAUCACCGUGUGAUCCACAUCGUUUGCAUCCACGUUGUGCAACUAGAAAAAUAGCAGCCUCAGAAAGACUACCCUGGUUGAAUUAAAAUAAAUGUUGCACAUGAUUUGCUGCCUAGUUGUACAAAAAAACUGCCACCCCAAAACAAACAAAAAUCCAUCAAAAACAAAAAAGUUAGGUUGGCUAUUUUUAACAUGAAGUUGGUGAGUUCAAUAUAACAGGUUGCACAAGGGAAGCUGCCCCGGUUGCACAAAUGGCUAAAAAGCAUUCACACAAAAUCUGUGAAAACUUCUACACAACUAACCCUAAGGCCCCUAACUAUGUUGCCGUGUGUGUGCAACUUCGACAGCUGUACAAACAUCGUCUACAUAGAAAAAACAUGGAUGUGCAAACACCAUCAAGGAAAAAAAGUAUGUCUCUAACGCAUCCAGAGUUGCACAAAAAGUUUAACAUAAAUUUUGCACGGAAUGAUAUCAAUUACAAUCAUGAGUUUGCAAUGCAUCAUGAGAUUAAUGGAGAACAACUCGCCAAUGCGUUUGGUCAGAAGAACACAAACUGUAACAAUGACGCCGCCUUCUUGGCUGCCAUCUGGACGCCGCAAUUCAUCUGGUCGUAGGACGGGGAGGCGAAAUGGACGAUCUCGCCGGCAUCCAUCAUCCUCCUGAAAUAGAGGAUCUCGCGGCGUCCAUCAUCCUCCUGAAACAGAGGAUCUCGCGGCGUCCAUCAUCCUCCCGAAACAUUGGCUACUCCUGGGGAAAGUUCUGCAUAAGAAUACCACAUCUGUAAAAUGAAUUGCCUACUCCCGGGAAAAAAUGAUGCAUCUACGACACAAACAAGUGAGGGUGUCCUGUAAUUCCAAACAAGUUCAAUAAGGUUCUGACAGUGACAUAUAGUCUGCACACACACACACAUUCGACAGUCAAAAAAUGCAGUAGUACUAGUUAGUAGCAGGAAUAAGAUCACAUGUUCAGUUGGUGAUGCACGAGGCAAGAUAGAUAAGUCAGAAAACAAUUGAUCUUCUUCCAAACUUCAAUGAGAUGUAGCCUUGGGGUCUCAGAAGUUGUCAUGUGAUCGAUGAGUUUUGUUUGCUGUUUAGGUCCACUCAACACUUGAACUAGCUUGCUGGUGACAAUUGCAAGCCGGCCGGCCGGCUGGACGGUCGGCCACUCGGACGGCACCACAGACAGAUCGAUCCUAUUUAUAGAUGCGAACUACUGAAGCUCGGCAUAGAACGAGAGUUUGGUGAGAGAGGCGUGCUCACGGUUGCAUCCAUGACGGACGACUGGGUCGGUGCGAUGGGCUUCUUCGUGGGGAUGCUAGCACGGCUGAUCUGCGAGAUCCCCGGCGGCGGGGCCCGGAGGUUGGGGGCUGCUGCUCGUGGCGGCGCAUGCUGGCUGGAAGACGCGAGGCGUGCUGGGGUGGCGACGGGGAUCCGCGGCGGGAGGUCGGCGACGGCGAGCUGGCGCGGUCCGGAGGCGGCACGAGGGAGGAGGCGAGGUGCACGGGUGGCACACCGGCGGCGGCGGCGGCGGUUAGUGGAUGAGGAAGGUCAUGGGGUGCGGUAGU
rnacentral:lncRNA from 1 species